rnacentral:rRNA from 1 species
GACGAACGCUGGCGGCGUGCUUAACACAUGCAAGUCGAGCGGUAAGGCCCUUUCGGGGGUACGACGAGCGGCGAACGGGUGAGUAACACGUGGGUGACCUGCCCUCCAGCUCUGGGAGUAAGCCCGGGAAACUGGGUCUAAUACUGGAUAUGACUCCAUGACGCAUGUUGUGGGGUGGAAAGCCUUGUGCGGCUGAGGAUGGGCCCGCGGCCUAUCAGCUUGUUGGUGGGGGAUGGCCUACCAAGGCGACGACGGGUAGCCGGCCUGAGAGGGCGACCGGCCACACUGGGACUGAGACACGGCCCAGACUCCUACGGGAGGCAGCAGUGGGGAAUCUUGCGCAAUGGGCGAAAGCCUGACGCAGCGACGCCGCGUGAGGGAUGACGGCCU